GGGGGUGUCGCAUAGCGGCAAUUGCAGGGGACUGUAAAUCCCCCGGCUUCGGCCUCCGCUGGUUCGAGUCCAGCCGCCCCCA
rnacentral:tRNA from 1 species